UGGUCCCACAGCUGCUUGCCUCCCCCUGUUUUUGGCAAUGGUAGAACUCACACUGGUGAGGUAAUGGGAUCCGGUGGUUCUAGACUUGCCAACUACGGGGCGAGGGCUCAGCCGGCACCCUGUGA
rnacentral:pre_miRNA from 8 species